rnacentral:lncRNA from 1 species
UAUUUUUUAAAUUUCAGUUUUCAGAAUGUAAAUAACGAUAAUUAACAAAAUAAUAACCGUAAUUUCACUUUCUCACGACAUUACUUUGUUUUAACAAACUUGUAGGAAAAAAAUUGCAAAAAAAAAAAAAAAAUGAUGAUGAUGACGACGACUCUUGUUUAGAUCGUGUUCUGAACCUUUAUGAUUGUUGCGUUGACCAAAAAAAAAACAACAAACGAAAACAAAACACUUUUUGUAAGAAACCGAUUGUACGUAAAUUAAAUCUGUGCAUAAUACGUGUUGUUUAUUUAUGAUUAAAGUGUAUAUAUAUACGGUUUCAUGUUUAUAUCACGAAUAGUAGUAAUAAUGAUGACGACAACACUGUGAAUGAUUUAUAACAUUUUUCUAUAUUCGCUUCUGAAUAUUGUAUAAGUUGAUAUACGCUAUUCAUAUUUUCAUAUGUCAUUAUUAAUAGUUGAACACCAACACAGGAAAAAAAAAAAAAAAAGAAAAAUUGUUAGUAAUUUCCUAAGAAGAUUUCCUCAAAUUUAAUUUAUUAUUUUCUAAAUUAAAUCUAUGAUAGAUCUUUAAAUAAUAAUAAUAAUGAUGAUGAUGAUGAUGAUGAUGAUAUAUUUUUCAUCAGUUUUUUUUCGUAACUGGAAGUUGUAGAAAUAUGUGCACUCACGAAAUGCAGUAUUUAUAAAUGCAGACCUGUAAUGGAAGAUUUAUGAUAUUUUUUAAUCGAUUCUUAGUAAACAAACGAAUAAAUAUGUACAGUACGAAGAGUUGUUCACGGUUUAUUAAUGUAAUUAUUCACUACGAUUUAACGACACGCAUGAUAUUCGAGUUAAAAUGUCCAAGCUGCUGGAUGAUGAAUAUCACAUGUAGGCCUAACCAGUGUCUUUAGUGAUUUUCAAGUUAAUUUUUGAUGUUUUAUCUUCAGAAUGAUUGUUUCGAAAUAGCAUUAUCGCUUUUCACUUUCGAGGUAAUUGUUAGGAAAACAAUUCUCGAAACUGAAAAGUGGUGAUAUGAUUUUUUUGAAACAAUCAUUUUGAAGAUGAAAUAUCAAAAAUUAACUUGAAAAUCACAUUGUUGCAUAUGAUAUUAAUCAUUCAAUCAUUUUUAAAUAAUUGGUGAUAAACUACUAACUUCAGCUACUAAAUAAUUGGUGAUAAACCACUAACUUCACAGAUUCUCUCAUAUUUUAAAAGUACUUAUUGGAUUUUUAUGAAAUUUUAAUAGG